rnacentral:tRNA from 1 species
UGCCAAGUGGCUGAACUUAAGGUGGAAGAUUGUAGCUCUUUUUAUGUAAAAAUUUUACCUUGGUGA